AUUGAACGCUGGCGGCAGGCCUAACACAUGCAAGUCGAGCGGCAGCGGGAAAGUAGCUUGCUACUUUUGCCGGCGAGCGGCGGACGGGUGAGUAAUGCCUGGGAAAUUGCCCAGUCGAGGGGGAUAACAGUUGGAAACGACUGCUAAUACCGCAUACGCCCUACGGGGAAAGCAGGGGACCUUCGGGCCUUGCGCGAUUGGAUAUGCCCAGGUGGGAGUUAGCUUGUUGGUGAGGUAAUGGCUCACCAAGGCGACGAUCCCUAGCUGGUCUGAGAGGAUGAUCAGCCACACUGGAACUGAGACACGGUCCAGACUCCUACGGGAGGCAGCAGUGGGGAAUAUUGCACAAUGGGGGGAACCCUGAUGCAGCCAUGCCGCGUGUGUGAAGAAGGCCUCGG
rnacentral:rRNA from 1 species